GCCGUGAGGCGCGCGGUCAGCCGGCCUCGGGUGCCCGGCCCUAUGGCAGCCACGGAAAGCUCCCGCGUGGUUCUCAGAAACAGUUUCCCUCUGCGCUGGGAGCAGUUUGAUGAAGAUUUUUAAGUGAAAAAAAAAAAGAAAAAAAGAAGAAGCGUAUUUUGAGUGGCUUACCAAGGCUGAAGGCGUCCAGGUUCCCAAAGGGUUCCAGGUGUCGGUACCUGAGAACGGCUGGUUUAAUGCUGCGCCGUGUCGAGCUAAAAGCAGUGGGAGGAUGUUGAGACGCCUAUCGCAUGUAAUCAGAAGUAAUUACACUCUACAGAUACCAGCCACAACGAUUCUUGCUGUACCGAGAUGCGUUACAUCUUUUUGUGCUGAGAGAAUUUUAGUGUGGUAGGGAAAAUAUUCCAUCACAGAACUGCAGCCACGACAAAAUGAAGGCAGAAUGUGUGUUUUUACACACAGAAUAUGCAGAACAGCAGGUAUGCAGGGACUGUGUGUUGGUUUACCUACGCAAUACUUCUGUUCCUUUGUCUACAUCCAACUGAGGUGACGUUUUUUCUCUUGCUUUAAACUUUUCCUAAGCAUUAUGUGGCCAGCAGGGUGAAUUUGCACGAAUCCGUAUUCCAAAACUUGGAUCCUACUGAAAUUGAAAUCUGUGAAGUGUUUCAAUUGCUGCAGAGUAAGUGGGCUCUGACUCCUAAUACAACUGCUUAGAUGAAGCUCUCACUGCUGAGCCAGCAACGCGGGCUGUCCAUACAAGGUGCUCAUUACCUCAUGCUUUUGGUGUCAGCCAAGCUUCUGCCUCUAAUUUUUCCAUACAUCUAAAAUUUGUACUGAUGAAACACAGGAAAAGAAAGAAAGAAAGAAAGGAAAAAAAAAAAAACAGCAACAACCAACCAAGAGGUUCACAGAGAUAAAUGACUCUGCUGCAGCUUUGAAGGGCUGUUUUUGUCUGUUUUGUCUUCAUCUUGAACUAUUUAGGGAGGUGCUUUCUUGUGUCUUUUGUCACUUGAAAAUCCCAUUUAGCCUCAGUGGAAUCACAUACAUGGUCAGAUCACAGAUCUGAUGUGAACUCUGCACAGCGUGGAGGAUUUCUUCCAGCUCAGAGGGAAUCUGUUUCGAAAUCAGUUUUUCGGUACAACAGGACACAAGCAACUUCCAUUAAAGGACAGACAACCUUCACUGAAGCUACUUAGAGGAAGCUGCUCUGCAAGAGAAAGAAGAUCCUGUGAGCACUCAAGGUCAAGUACGAAAUAAAUUAAUUCUGUAAUUGCUAACAAGCAACUUCCAGCUCUGGCAAAUUAUAUACCUAAUAAAAAUGAUUAAUUUGUGUUUGUUUUUGGAAGGACUGCCUGUGAUUUUGUCCUCAGAUGAAAAGAACUAAAGCACUUAAGAUUUUACCACUAAGCUAAAGCAAGGGUGUUUCUGGGCCACUAACUGCUGACUUUUGACUCAUACUCUAGAAAGCUUCUGCAGAUAUUUUGGAUGAAGGAAUAGGAUGUUUAUUUUCAUAUACUUAUGCCUAAACUCAGUGUUUGUUUUGAAUGCAGUUGGAAUGAACUCUUAUAGUAAACACUGAUGUCAUUUAGAGAAUGCGUAAACCAAGCAGUACUUCCAUUUGUAGGCUCACUGCUCUAUUCUCUUCAAAGCGCUCAAUGAAGCACAACUGGAGACAGAAGGCAGUUCCAUGAAGCACAGCUCCUGCUUUUUCCCUGCUGUUCUUGGUCCAGCAACUGAUGACAACGAAUCAGCUUCUAGCUCCUUGACUGUAGAUGUGGUGCGAUCCUCCUUACCCUGCUGGCAGGAGACUUUUGCAACCCCCUGAUGCUUUUGGGAGUUUCAAGGUCCUGUCAGCUGGAGCAGUGAAUGCCCGCAUCCCCUGGAAACUGCAGUAGUAUCCUGCUGCCUUAUAAAGGUUGAUAAUUGGAGAUGUAACAUCAUACACUGCAAAGAAUUAAGCAUGAAUGAUUCUAGAUCAUGAAAAAAAUCUGGGCAAGCUUGAAAAGCUCUUCCCCAGGGACAACAUUCCAGCUGGGGCUGAUGGUGCUGUGUGUGUGCACAUAAUGCCAUCCAUCAUGAGCUGCCUGUUUUCCCAACAGUGUGAGUGGGACUCUGGUACAACCCAGAGAGGACGUAGAGGAUGUGGUGAAAGAAACCCCUGACCUUGCUCCCUUCUAUGAAUUUUGAGUCUAGAUAAGACAAUCAUCUUGUUAUACUACUUCUUAGGAGUCUAAUCAUAUUACAGGACAUUGUAUUUCACCUGUUAGCUUCAAGACACCUUGUGAAUGGCUGAACGUGUCAGGAAAAGCUCUCUUGUGCUUCAGAUGUGAAUCAUUGACUGGAUUGUAAAAGGCAAAGGCAAUCAAUCAACUCCAAUCUGAGAGUUGUUGUUCAUGUGGGUAACAUAUCUUGAAGCUUUAAUCAUCUGCGUACCCUUUCGGAAGUAAUUUCUACAAAUAAAUUCCAAAUGUCAGAUAUAUUUCAUCAUUUAGCUUCAGCAUAUGGAAGUAAAAGUUGAAAGAAGCAAUUCACGGUCAUUUCUUACUGGGAAGAAAAUGAAGGGAAAAAUCCUUGCAGAAGAAAGAGAAGAAAAAGGAAGCCGCAGGAAAGUAUUGUGAGCUGAUUUGUGGACACUCCCCCAAAAGGUCAUGGGAGGUAAUGGAAGGAAUGAAACUGGUGAUGGAAAUCAGCAACACAGACAAACAUCCAAAAAAAUACAAUCUUCAAGGGAGCAGCAGGCAAUCAGGCAGGGGUUCUGUGAGAAUCCACAAACCUCAUGUCAGUGCUAAAAUAGGACAGCCAUCAGCUCUGCUCCACAUCACGCCCACGUGCAAAAGAGCCCAGCACCCAGCGCUCCAUCACGACCAGCUGCAGUUUGAGCACACUCAGCCUCAGGCUUUGGCAAGAGCACGUGAAGACCAGGUUUAUUUGGGCAGGGCUGGAUGAUGCUGGCAGAGAAGCAUCCACCCUUCGGUGUGAAAGUGGAAGGAGCUGAACUUUGAACUCUGAGAUAAGCAAAUCUGAACAUGAAAUAAGACAGUGGCAUGUUGGACUUAAGCUGGCCUUUAUAUAAAAACAGUGCACAGAAUGCCUUCUGUUCUUGAUUUUAUGUUCCACAAGUAGACUCUAAGACUCUGCUUUUCCUCCCCACCACUGGAGCUGUAUUAAGGCCCAGCAAUUCGGCAAUCCUGGCUCUUCUGAUCCUGGUGAUUUUAAAUGGUGGUGUGACCCUAAGAACAAAAGCAAUUUCCCUCUCCACUGUAUUUUGGUUGUUCUGGGACACGUUCUGUCCUGUAAUCAAUAGAGUUUAAAAAUAAAUUUACGUUGUGCUUUUC
ensembl:lncRNA